ensembl:lncRNA
CAUUUUUGACUGACCCAAAACAAAAUUCAACAAUUGACAUUCAAAAGACCUUCUUCUUACAUAUUUAAAACCACAAAUAAACAUUUGCAUAGAAAAUACCUCAUUAAAAGAUGUCAAAAGAUUCUCCAAAACAUGGAAUAAAGGUUUCAAUCUGCAACAAUACAUAAAAGUGUGAAACACGGUUUCUCUUUGACCACAAAAAGGACAAUCAGGACUUAUUUCCGGAUUCAACACCGAAAUGAAAGCAUUUACAGCUAUAACUCCAUGUAGAAUCCUCCACUGAAUAUCACCCCCCUCUUGGGUAACGGUGGCCUAUAUAGUGCUCUCCAUUCUGGUUUACACUCUUUGCUUAGCCCAAGGACAUUACGCCAUGGAGUAUCACAUCUGUUAUUCAAGACUUUUUUAUUGAAAACCUUCACACAACUUUUAUACACCUCUUUAACAUUCAGAGAAUCAUCACAAAAACAUAUAUCUCUCUUCACCAAAAAAGGGCCAUCACAUUCUUCCAGUUUCCAACAGACAAGAUUAAAGUAUAAAAGGAGUCCUCCUCAUUAGGCUUCAAGAUUCCUUGACAAAAGUCUGCGAGGAUUUUUAAUUCCUCCUCUAACAAUGCUGACUUCCAUUUUGUUAGAAUUUGCCGAACCAACCUAAUGGAUUUAAUGCCCAGCUUUACAGCACUUUGGUUAAAUUGCCAGCACUUGCAGAAAGAAAAGAGACGUUUCCUGCAUUGUCAGAACGAGUCCCAUUAAGCAAUGGUUCUUGCAGUAACCAAUAAAGUGUCCUUGGAUUCUGUUCAACAAAAAUAUUAAACAGAUUCCAAACUUUAAAAAUGUUCUUGUAAAAAAUUGGUGCAUCUGAUGUGUUUACUUUCAGAGGAUCCAUUAAAAAGAGAGUUUUAUCAAAGCCUAGGCCUCCCACACUCUUUAAAAUCUCACAUGAAACAACUUUCCAGUUAGAGUCAAAGGAUCCAUACAACAGUCUGUGUAUAAAACGCAUACGAAAAGUAGCAAUUCUGCUUUGCACAUUAAUAAGACCUUGACCUCCUUCAUCCUUGGAUAAAAAUAGCACACUUUGGGAUACCCAAUGUAAUUUUUCCCAAAAGAAGCCUACCAGGACUUUCUGAAUCUCUACAAGUAGAUUUAAAGGAGGAUCCAGGCAGGCUAAGCGAUGCCACAAAGAGGAGGCCACAAGGUUGUUUAUAAUAAGAAUACGCCCCCUGUAGGACAUUUUCGGAAACAACCACUUCCAUUUAUUUAAUCUUCCUUUGACAUUUUCAAGAACAUUGUCCCAGUUUUUCUUUACAAUGGAAUCAUCUCCAAGAAAAACACCCAGGUACUUAAAACCUCCUUUAGACCAAAGUAAACCAUUUGGGAGUAUUGGAAUACCCUGUGACCAAUGUCCAACCAAAAUUGCUUCACUCUUGGCCCAAUUUACUGUAGCUGAUGAUAUCUCUUUAAAAUCAUUUAAAAUAUU